UACGGAGGGUCCAAGCGUUAUCCGGAAUCAUUGGGUUUAAAGGGUCCGUAGGCGGCCUUAUAAGUCAGUGGUGAAAUCUCCCGGCUCAACCGGGAAAUGGCCAUUGAUACUGUAGGGCUUGAAUUAUUAGGAAGUAACUAGAAUAUGUAGUGUAGCGGUGAAAUGCUUAGAGAUUACAUGGAAUACCAAUUGCGAAGGCAGGUUACUACUAAUGGAUUGACGCUGAUGGACGAAAGCGUGGGUAGCGAACAGG
rnacentral:rRNA from 1 species